rnacentral:misc_RNA from 1 species
AAGUCGUAACAAGGUUUCCGUAGGUGAACCUGCGGAAGGAUCAUUAACAACAUAUCCUAACUAAAAAACCCUGUGAACUUUCAAUGUCCCGAACCUUUGAUCCGAGGACUUCAGCAAUCUCUGGUAAAUCAUAGUGAACAGCUUUUGAUUCAGAGACCUCUGAAAUAACCUAGCGUGGUUCUAGUGAAAGCUAUUGGGUUAUAACUAAACGACUGUUAACAAUGGAUAUCUCGAUUCUC